UACGGGAGGAGCAAGCGUUGUUCGGAAUUACUGGGCGUAAAGGGCGCGUAGGCGGCCUGCUAAGUCGAACGUGAAAUCCCUGGGCUACCAACCCGAGGAACUGCGUCCCGGAUACUGGUUGGCUUGAAUCCGGGAGAGGGAUGUGGAAUUCCGAGGUGUAUGCGGUGAAAUGCGUAGAUAUCUGGAGGAACACCGGUGGCGAAGGCGACAUCCUGGACCGGUAGUUGACGCUGAGGCGCGAAAGCCA
rnacentral:rRNA from 1 species